GACGAACGCUGGCGGCGUGCUUAACACAUGCGAGUCGAACGGAAAGGCCCUGCUUUUGUGGGGUGCUCGAGUGGCGAACGGGUGAGUAACACGUGAGUAACCUGCCCUUGACUUUGGGAUAACUUCAGGAAACUGGGGCUAAUACCGGAUAGGAGCUCCUGCUGCAUGGUGGGGGUUGGAAAGUUUCGGCGGUUGGGGAUGGACUCGCGGCUUAUCAGCUUGUUGGUGGGGUAGUGGCUUACCAAGGCUUUGACGGGUAGCCGGCAUGGGAGGGUGACCGGCCACAUUGGGACUGAGAUACGGCCCAGGCUGCUACGGGAGGCAGCAGUGGGGAAUAUUGCACAGUGGGCGGAAGCCUGAUGCAGCAACGCCGCGUGCGGGAUGACGGCCUUCGGGUUGUAAACCGCUUUCGCCUGUGACGAAGCGUGAGUGACGGUAAUGGGUAAAGAAGCACCGGCUAACUACGUG
rnacentral:rRNA from 1 species